rnacentral:rRNA from 1 species
GACAGAGGGGGCAAGCGUUGCUCGGAAUCACUGGGCGUAAAGCGCACGUAGGCGGAUUGUUAAGUCAGGGGUGAAAUCCUGGAGCUCAACUCCAGAACUGCCUUUGAUACUGGCGAUCUUGAGUCCGGGAGAGGUGAGUGGAACUGCGAGUGUAGAGGUGAAAUUCGUAGAUAUUCGCAAGAACACCAGUGGCGAAGGCGGCUCACUGGCCCGGUACUGACGCUGAGGUGCGAAAGCGUGGGGAGCAAACAGG